rnacentral:lncRNA from 1 species
GAUUGACGAUCUAGACGCCAUAAAGGCGCACAAUAUAUAACCACACUGUGGCGGGCAGUCCAUAGCUUGUCACGGUGCCACAGGACUCACGCGAUGAAUCACGGCUUACAUUACAAUCAUCACCAUGAUCGUGUAAUCGCGUGUUCAGCUCGGCAGGAUCCCAAUGCCUUGUCCCCCGAGAGUACCAAGGAUAAUAAUAAAUUAUAGGAACCAUCACCAUCCAAAUGACAACAGCAACUCCACGGAUGGUAACAUGAACGCAGAUCAGCGCCUAGCAAAUCUAAAUGGAAGAAACAAUGCAAAUGCGGAAUGGACUGUUGUAGGUGUUACUACACGCGAGCAAUCGUCACAACAUCAACACAUUCGAGAGUCGUCCUUAGGAAGAAGCGCGACACCACUAAAUAAAUAAAAAAAUCUUUGCAUCCUUCCCAGUCAGAGAGAAUGCCACAUUCCCAACAUCGUGAUUAAAGUCUUAAGCAGAAGUCUAUCGACGAUGGUGUGGAUAUUCUGUUUGACCUGGAAGGGUUUCACGCCCGUCACAGUCAUGUUCACUCUGUCCACAUCCACAAAUAAGGGGACACUGGGGGGCGCCUGUACGUCUACUGGUGGACUUUACCAUCGACACGUCCACAAAUUCUGUAAAAAGACAGCAUGAUGGGUUUCUGCGUGAUUCACGUUGGUCCACGCAGAAAACCGAUUCCCCGUUGUGUCACUGGAAUCAGGAGUGCUGCAAAAUGGAAGGAUGUCGGGAAUAGUGAUAGUUACCGAGUUUCUUUUCAUCUGUAUCAAAGUCUGCACACUACACUUGGCCUGAGGGCGUUCUGGUUCUUGAUUUUGGUAUGAAGAGGAUUGUUGUCAGUCAGUUCGGAUAUGAUACGCAUGUAUACCGCCCAAACGAUUUGUAUUUUAUGAGAACAAAGAGGAAUUAAAUACAUUUGUAGUUACAGAUACCUUUAAAGCGUGAAUGCUUUUUUUUUCGAUAAGAGUUUGAAAUGGGUCAAUAAUUACAUGGACAAUGAGCGUGUUACGUUUUAGACAGUAGGUGUAUGGAAUCCAGUGAAAGUGAUGUAAGCAACACUGUAGCUCUUAUCAAUAUAUCAUUUCCUACGUUUGGGAUUGUUGAGUUCACUGGUUGCUUCUCACACUGCUUUUAUUUUAGUUGCAUAUUAAGUCUUAGAGCAUAUUGACAACAACGCUAUUAGAAUCGAAAAAAUGACAAAAGCAUUGAACAACUUUUAUUUGAAAAUGGAGUAGAAUUGGACGUGACAGUCGUCUACUUAAAUCUAAAGAACAUUAUCCGUUGUAUAACAGAUAGGGUUGAUUAGCUAAUUAUCAACCUAUAGUUAAUACUUGUAAAUUUGUGCUGACUAGUAUUGUUUGCCAUCUACGUAUUAAUAUGUAUUUUAAAAAGAUCAUAUGACUAAAUUAUAAUGAAAAAAAUUCAAGAUUUCCAAUUUAGUUGGUUUGAAAUUACUUCUUCUCUUUCCUUUUUCUGAUGGAAAGUACGUACUUAACAUCUCUAAUUGUGAUCAGUUUAUUAUCAUAUUUAUCAGAAAAUAUUUUAAACACUGAGAUGUUACUUACGGUUGUAUUUUGUUUUGCAAAUGUGUUGCUCUUGACAUUUUCAAUGGGCCAUUUGUACUGAUUCAAUAAAGAGAAUAUUUUUGUUG